AAGGCUUUAAGUUAAUUAAACUAAUAGCCUUCAAAGCUAUAUAUAUUAGUAAAAAUCUUUUAAGCCUUA
rnacentral:tRNA from 1 species